rnacentral:rRNA from 1 species
UACGUAGGGUGCAAGCGUUAAUCGGAAUUACUGGGCGUAAAGGGUGCGUAGGCGGUUCGUUAAGUCUGUCGUGAAAUCCCCGGGCUCAACCUGGGAAUGGCGAUGGAUACUGGGCAGCUAGAGUGUGUCAGAGGAUGGUGGAAUUCCCGGUGUAGCGGUGAAAUGCGUAGAGAUCGGGAGGAACAUCAGUGGCGAAGGCGGCCAUCUGGGACAACACUGACGCUGAAGCACGAAAGCGUGGGGAGCAAACAGG